rnacentral:rRNA from 1 species
CGCCUCUUGAAUAAAAAUAAGAGGUCCAGCCUGCCCAGUGACUAAUAUUCAACGGCCGCGGUAUCCUAACCGUGCGAAGGUAGCGUAAUCACUUGUUCUUUAAAUGGGGACUAGUAUGAAUGGCAUCACGAGGGUUAUACUGUCUCCUUUUUCUAAUCAGUGAAUCUAAUCUCCCCGUGAAGAAACGGGGAUACACCUACAAGACGAGAAGACCCUAUGGAGCUUUAAAUACCUCUUCAAACGUUGGACCUCCUCCCCAGUUUUAAACUCACCUAUAUUAACCCCGUACGCUAUGAAGACAACUUUAGGUUGGGGUGACCGCGGAGUACAACAUAACCUCCACGCUGAAUCAGACUCUUUAAGCCUGAGCCAAGAGCCACUACUCAAAGCACUAAGAAAUUAACAUUUAUUGACCCAAAACAUUUGAUCAACGAACCAAGUUACCCUAGGGAUAACAGCGCAAUCCAUUUCAAGAGUCCAUAUCGACAAAUGGGUUUACGACCUCGAUGUUGGAUCAGGGUAUCCCAGUGGUGCAGCCGCUACUAAUGGUUCGUUUGUUCAACGAUUAAAACCC